AGAGUUUGAUCCUGGCUCAGAGCGAACGCUGGCGGCAGGCCUAACACAUGCAAGUCGAACGCCGUAGCAAUACGGAGUGGCAGACGGGAUAGUAACACGUGGGAACGCGCCCUUCGGUUCGGAAUAACUCAGGGAAACUUGAGCUAAUACCGGAUACGCCCUUACGGGGAAAGAUUUAUUACCGAAGGAACGGCCCGCGUCGGAUUAGCUAGUUGGUGAGGUAAUGGCUCACCAAGGCGACGAUCCGCAGCUGGUCUGAGAGGAUGACCAGCAUCACUGGGACUGAGACACGGCCCAGACUCCUACGGGAGGCAGCAGUGGGGAAUAUUGGACAAUGGGCGCAAGCCUGAUCCAGCCAUGCCGCGUGGAUGAUGAAGGCCCUAGGGUUGUAAAGUCCUUUUAACGGGGAAGAUAAUGACGGUACCCGUAGAAUAAGCCCCGGCUAACUCCGUGCCAGCAGCCGCGGUAAUACGAAGGGGGCUAGCGUUGCUCGGAAUUACUGGGCGUAAAGCGCACGUAGGCGGGUCGAUAAGUCGGGGGUGAAAUCCUGGAGCUCAACUCCAGAACUGCCUUCGAAACUGUCGAUCUUGAGUUCGGGAG
rnacentral:rRNA from 1 species